AUUUAACGCUGGCGGCAGGCCUAACACAUGCAAGUCGAACGAGUAGCGGACGGGUGAGUAAUUUCUGGGAAACUGCCUGAUGGAGUGGGAUAACUACUGGAAACGGUAUCUAAUACCGCAUACCCUCGGAUGUGCACAGAUGGGAUUAGCGAGUAGGUGUGGUAAAGGCUCACCUAGGCGACGAUCCCUAGCUGGUCUGAGAGGAUGACCAGCCAAACUGGAACGGAGACACGGCCCAGAGUCCUACGGGAGGCAGCAGUGGGGAAUAUUGCACAAUGGGCGAAAGCCUGAUGCAGCCAUGCCGCGUGGAUGAAGAAGGCCUUCGGGUUGUAAAGUACUUUCAGCGGGGAGGCGUUACCCGCAGAAGAAGCACCGGCUAACUCCGUGCCAGCAGCCGCGGUAAUUC
rnacentral:rRNA from 1 species